UACGAAGGGGGCUAGCGUUGUUCGGAAUUACUGGGCGUAAAGCGCACGUAGGCGGCUUAGCAAGUCGGAUGUGAAAUCCCUCGGCUCAACCAAGGAAGUGCAUCCGAAACUGCUGAGCUUGAGUACGAAAGAGGAUCGCGGAAUUCCCGGUGUAGAGGUGAAAUUCGUAGAUAUCGGGAGGAACACCAGUGGCGAAAGCGGCACUCUGGGCCUAAACUGACGCUGAGGGGCGAAAGCGUGGGGAGCGAACGGG
rnacentral:rRNA from 1 species